rnacentral:piRNA from 1 species
UGACAAAACCAAGACCAGCCAGCACGGA